rnacentral:rRNA from 1 species
GAUGAACGCUGGCGGCGUGCCUAAUACAUGCAAGUCGAGCGAACAGACGAGGCGCUUGCUCCUCUGACGUUAGCGGCGGACGGGUGAGUAACACGUGGAUAACCUACCUAUAAGACUGGGAUAACUUCGGGAAACCGGAGCUAAUCCCGGAUAAUAUAUUGAACCGCAUGGUUCAAUAGUGAAAGACGGCUUUGCUGUAACUUAUAGAUGGAUCCGCGCCGCAUUAGAUAGUUGGUAAGGUAACGGCUUACCAAGGCAACGAUGCGUAGACGACCUGAGAGAGUGAUCGGCCACACUGGAACGGAGACACCGUCCAGACUCCUACGGGAGGCAGCAGUAGGGAAUCUGCCGCAAUGGGCGAAAGCAUGACGGAGCAACGCCGCGUGAGUGAUGAAGGUCUCCGGAGCGUAAAACUCUGUUAUGAGGGAAGAACAAAUGUGUAAGUAACUAUGCACGGCUUGACGGUACCUAAUCAGAAAGCCACGGCUAACUACGUG